rnacentral:rRNA from 1 species
AAAUUGAAGAGUUUGAUCAUGGCUCAGAUUGAACGCUGGCGGCAGGCCUAACACAUGCAAGUCGAACGGUAACAGGAAGCAGCUUGCUGCUUCGCUGACGAGUGGCGGACGGGUGAGUAAUGUCUGGGAAACUGCCUGAUGGAGGGGGAUAACUACUGGAAACGGUAGCUAAUACCGCAUAAUGUCGCAAGACCAAAGAGGGGGACCUUCGGGCCUCUUGCCAUCGGAUGUGCCCAGAUGGGAUUAGCUUGUUGGUGGGGUAACGGCUCACCAAGGCGACGAUCCCUAGCUGGUCUGAGAGGAUGACCAGCCACACUGGAACUGAGACACGGUCCAGACUCCUACGGGAGGCAGCAGUGGGGAAUAUUGCACAAUGGGCGCAAGCCUGAUGCAGCCAUGCCGCGUGUAUGAAGAAGGCCUUCGGGUUGUAAAGUACUUUCAGCGGGGAGGAAGGGAGUAAAGUUAAUACCUUUGCUCAUUGACGUUACCCGCAGAAGAAGCACCGGCUAACUCCGUGCCAGCAGCCGCGGUAAUACGGAGGGUGCAAGCGUUAAUCGGAAUUACUGGGCGUAAAGCGCACGCAGGCGGUUUGUUAAGUCAGAUGUGAAAUCCCCGGGCUCAACCUGGGAACUGCAUCUGAUACUGGCAAGCUUGAGUCUCGUAGAGGGGGGUAGAAUUCCAGGUGUAGCGGUGAAAUGCGUAGAGAUCUGGAGGAAUACCGGUGGCGAAGGCGGCCCCCUGGACGAAGACUGACGCUCAGGUGCGAAAGCGUGGGGAGCAAACAGGAUUAGAUACCCUGGUAGUCCACGCCGUAAACGAUGUCGACUUGGAGGUUGUGCCCUUGAGGCGUGGCUUCCGGAGCUAACGCGUUAAGUCGACCGCCUGGGGAGUACGGCCGCAAGGUUAAAACUCAAAUGAAUUGACGGGGGCCCGCACAAGCGGUGGAGCAUGUGGUUUAAUUCGAUGCAACGCGAAGAACCUUACCUGGUCUUGACAUCCACAGAACUUUCCAGAGAUGGAUUGGUGCCUUCGGGAACUGUGAGACAGGUGCUGCAUGGCUGUCGUCAGCUCGUGUUGUGAAAUGUUGGGUUAAGUCCCGCAACGAGCGCAACCCUUAUCCUUUGUUGCCAGCGGUCCGGCCGGGA